rnacentral:rRNA from 1 species
GACGAACGCUGGCGGCGUGCUUAACACAUGCAAGUCGAACGGAAAGGCCCUGCUUUUGUGGGGUGCUCGAGUGGCGAACGGGUGAGUAACACGUGAGUAACCUGCCCUUGACUUUGGGAUAACUUCAGGAAACUGGGGCUAAUACCGGAUAGGAGCUCCUGCUGCAUGGUGGGGGUUGGAAAGUUUCGGCGGUUGGGGAUGGACUCGCGGCUUAUCAGCUUGUUGGUGGGGUAGUGGCUUACCAAGGCUUUGACGGGUAGCCGGACUGAGAGGGUGACCGGCCCCAUUGGGACUGAGAUACCGCCCAGACUCCUACGGGAGGAAGCAGUGGGAAAUAUUGCACAAUGGGCGGAAGCCUGAUGCAGUAACGCCGCGUGCGGGAUGACGGCCUUCGGGUUGUAACCCGCUUUCGCCUGUGACGAAGAGUGAGUGACGGUAAUGGGUAAAGAAGCACCGGCUAACUACGUG